CGCCUCCAGGGCAGAGGGCCAGUGGGGUGCAAAACUCGGGUUCCCCUGGGGCAGCGCCCUGCGGGGUGGAGGUGACAGGAGCGCCAUCGCCCAGGUCCAGCGAGGUCCUGGGACACCGCGGAGACCGGGUACAGGUGGGGCCGGGUGGCCCCGCUUCCCUGUGUUGGGCAGUUUCAAUGUGGAUUCUGGUCGUCGAGGUUGUUGGACAAGCCAUGAAGGGGACGCCAACAAAGUCACAGCCAAGACUCUGCUCCAGGACAUCAGAGGGCACCAGCCCGGAGUGCACCCCCGGAGACGUGGACGCUGGCUGCAGCCGACGCUGACCACGAAUCACCUUUCAGGAGAAGAAAGUCGCGCUCCUCGGAUGUGUGCAGGUACAAAGUGGGCCGAGCUUUCACAAGUGGACACAGACAUACACAACCUCCAUCACCACUACCAAGGCACAGGCACUUGCGGCACCGGAGCGCUCCCUCCUGCCCCCAACCCUGACCCAGCCCAGCAACCACGACCAACUUCACCUGGGUCUCUUUGCCUUUUCUGGAACUUUGCUCAGUAGGAUCUUACUGUCCGAAGCCUGCCAGGUCUGGCCCCUCAGAGGCAGUGAAAUUAUUUUGAAGCCCCUUCAUUUCGCUAAAGCCCUCGGCCACUCAGAGCACAGAGCAGGUGGAGAGGCAGACCUUGUAGACCAGGAGACCCUGUGGCCAUGUUGCCAGUGUCCAAGGGCAUCGGGCUGAUUUCUCCCCCUUUGAUGGCCCCUACGUACCAGGCAGUAAACAACAAUGAAGGAUGCCAACGGUCAGCCCAGGCAAGCGGCUUUCUACCAUUCUUGGUCUUUGGUCUCCUUGGCAUGCCCAGGUCUGAUGGGGGUUGAGCUGCGAGCUGGGCAGGAGUCAGGAGGCCCAUGCUCGAUAGCUGUGCCAAUAAACUGUG